AAUUACUUGUCUUAUUUUAGUUUUGAAAAAAUUGUGAGUAGUUAAAGUAUUAUGUGUGACUUGUUUUAGUAUUUUUUAGAAUGAUAUAUUUGUAAGUGUUUGUUGAGUACUGAUAAGGAAUAAUUGAAAUAUUUUGUGACUUUUUGGUAAGUAGAAAUUUUUUGUACCUUUUGUAUCAGGGUUUUACUAUUUUAUUUUGUAAUUGUUAGGUGUCCCGAAAAAUCAUGAUUUAUAUUUAUAUAAAAUUUUAUCGUGGAAAAGUUUAUGUUGAAGAUAAGUAUGGAAGUUAAAAGUUAUACGUAUGAUUUGAUAUCUGGUUGUUUAAGAAAAAAAUUUAAUUUGGUGAUGUUUUGUAAUUUUACUAUUUUAGUAAAUAAUUUUAUUAUAUUCACAAAUGGUUGGGGGAUAAGCUCUAGUUAUUUAUUUAUAUUAGUUUUUGUUUAUCAAGUUUUUUAGGAUUAGAAUUGUCUAUUUUUGAAAAGUGUGUUAUAAUUUAGCUUGAGGUAAAUUAAAAUAUUUUUGUUGAAUUGAAUAUUGGUAUUAAACUUUUUAAAAUAGUUAUUAUUUUAAGUUAAAAUUGUAUUAAUUAGUAAAAUUUUAUUGUAUUAUUAAAUAUAGUAAUGAUAGAAAUUAUUUAAAGGAAUUCGGCAAAUAUUUUUUUCGCCUGUUUAUCAAAAACAUGGCUUUUUGAGUAAAAUAAAAAGUCAGGCCUGCCCACUGAAUUAUUAAAUGGCCGCGGUAUUUUGACCGUGCAAAGGUAGCAUAAUCAUUUGUCUUUUUAUUGAAGGCUGGCAUGAAAGGUUUAACGAAAAAUUGACUGUCUCUAAGUAAUAAUAUUUGAAUUUAACUUUUUAGUGAAAAGGCUGAAAUUUGUUUGAGGGACGAUAAGACCCUAUAGAUCUUUAUAAUAAACUUAGUAAUUUUGGUUAUAUUUUGUUAUAUUUAACUUAUUAUAUUUAUUAUUUUGUUGGGGCGACAUUUAGAUUAGAAGAACUCUUUAUUAUGUUUUAUAUUUAUAAAUAUAAUUUUUGUAGAUCCUAAUUUUUAGAUUUUAAGAUAAAGUUACCUUAGGGAUAACAGCGUAAUUUCCUUUGAGAGUUCGUAUCAACAGGGAAGAUUGCGACCUCGAUGUUGGAUUAAAAAUAUCUUUUUGGUGUAGCAGUUAAAAGAGAGAGUCUGUUCGACUUUUAAAUUUUUACAUGAUCUGAGUUCAGACCGGCGUAAGCCAGGUCGGUUUCUAUCUUCAAGUAAGAAAAUAUUUUUAUAGUACGAAAGGACCUAAAAAUAGGAAUAAUUUUAUGAUUGGGGUAAAAA
rnacentral:rRNA from 1 species